AUGCUUGAAAUCAUGUUUGUUUAUCUGAUAGCAUCUGGACAGAACAAGAUUCGACCUUGUGCUGCCACAAUGGUAAUUGGGCAAAAUAUAGUUGAUAUGUGCAUUGUAAGAAUCAAUUUGUUGUGUAUGAAAGUCCUAUUUAUAUUUAGGGCCUGUUCGGAGAUUCUCCCGCUCCCCAAGUCCGCUCUAGGAGUUGGUGGAGCUGUAGCUAAAAAUGGUGGAGUGGGGAAAAGGCAGCUCCAUAGAUUCUCAGAUUUCAGGGAGCUGGAGGACUGCCGAACAGCUCCUUAUAUACUACUAGCACACAUGCCCGUGCAUUGCAACGGAAGAAAAUACAUAUACAAUGAUGAAUGGUCAAAGGGUAAUUUUUGGUUAAAAAAUCAACAAUUCUAUUUCGCUGGCUUGGACCAUGAUACAUGUACAAUUUUCAUAGACACAAAUUCCUCAAGUUUUUGGACAGUUGUCCUCACAUCUCCUCUGCACCUUGCUCUCUUAUUUUGA
rnacentral:rRNA from 1 species